ACUGGGUUCAAAGAGCUGCUGGCUGGGAACUGGAACCUUCUGAUUACAACAACUGGAGCAGAAUACAUUCCCACAAUUCCUUGAGCCAAGAAAAAGCCAAGCAGAGAGGGGAUCCCUACCUAUCAGUCACAGCCUCAUCACUAUGGCUCAAGGUUACCAGGUCGACAGGAGGAUGUUGCUCAUGAGAGAUCUGUGAAAGCAAAUGAGCCCAGGGCAGAAGCAGCUGCUAACUAUGGAGUCUUGAAGAAACUAAAAGAUAAGCCAUAGGAGAGAAAAUACUGCAUUAUUUCCUGGCCCCUGGAGAAACAGUAACUGAGAACAAGUGUGAGGCUCUCUUGACCUGACUAAACUCUUCAUACUUACCAGGUGGUGCUGUCCAUGCCUGACAGAGAAGCUGCACUACAGAAGCGGCCAACCAAGGAGGUGCUGAGGGACCGCACACUCCGUGCCUAUUCUAAAACGAGUAGGAAUACACUGUGCCCCAGCCUUCCACAGCCACCAGUGCUGGGAGGCUUGUUUACAGCUGGUCCCACCACUGCCAUAGCUUCAUUUUUCCUCAAGGGAGGCGUUAGCACAGCAUUAUAAUAUAACUUGUUGCCAAAGACAAAGCUGGAGUGGGGGGUUGAAGGACUGAGUGAAAAAGGUGACGGGAUUAAGAAGUACAAAUCGGCAGUUACAACACAGUCACAG